CAUCCUAAGUGGGCUGGUAACGAGGCUAGCUCUGUCGACUAGUUCAAGACCCCUGAGAGCUUUGGGCCUGAAGUUCCUCAGCUUCCAAGUGAAAGGUUUCGACGUGGCAUUCUGGGAGACAGCCUCUGUGACCAUUAGUUUCCUCAUCUGUAAAACUGGCAUCAUGAUAAGUUUGAAGGGUUUGGCCCCUGGGAACCAACAGGCCAAUGCGGUUGGCGAUGGCACCGCAAAGAGCUGCAGGGCCAUCUAGUGGCCAAUGGUCUUCACUGCACAUGCGAUAAUGGUUCUAUUCAGCAGUUCCCCAAAACAAAACCAGACAGGACUGUUCUGAAGAUGAAGGCAAGUGUGCAUGUCAUGCAUGUGCUACGGUUCUUGACAAAUAAGUGUUUGCUAUGGAUUUAGCGCCUGUAGAAAGAAAGUCCAGGCAAGGGACAGAAACCUAAUCAAACAGGCUGAAGCAAAGGCUUGCUAUACGAAACCUGAGCAACCGAGUGCAGUGACUGACGCCUGUAAUCCCAUCACUUUGGGAGGCCAACACAGAAGGAUCACUUGAAGCCAGGAGUUCAAAACCAGCCUGGUCAACAUGGAGAGA